CCCAGUAGCGGCGAGCGAACGGGGAGGAGCCCAGAGCCUGAAUCAGUGUGUGUGUUAGUGGAAGCGUCUGGAAAGGCGCGCGAUACAGGGUGACAGCCCCGUACACAAAAAUGCACAUAUUGUGAGCUCGAUGAGUAGGGCGGGACACGUGGUAUCCUGUCUGAAUAUGGGGGGACCAUCCUCCAAGGCUAAAUACUCCUGACUGACCGAUAGUGAACCAGUACCGUGAGGGAAAGGCGAAAAGAACCCCGGCGAGGGGAGUGAAAAAGAACCUGAAACCGUGUACGUACAAGCAGUGGGAGCCUCUUAAUGGGGUGACUGCGUACCUUUUGUAUAAUGGGUCAGCGACUUAUAUUCUGUAGCAAGGUUAACCGAAUAGGGGAGCCGAAGGGAAACCGAGUCUUAACUGGGCGUUAAGUUGCAGGGUAUAGACCCGAAACCCGGUGAUCUAGCCAUGGGCAGGUUGAAGGUUGGGUAACACUAACUGGAGGACCGAACCGACUAAUGUUGAAAAAUUAGCGGAUGACUUGUGGCUGGGGGUGAAAGGCCAAUCAAACCGGGAGAUAGCUGGUUCUCCCCGAAAGCUAUUUAGGUAGCGCCUCGUGAAUUCAUCUCCGGGGGUAGAGCACUGUUUCGGCAAGGGGGUCAUCCCGACUUACCAACCCGAUGCAAACUGCGAAUACCGGAGAAUGUUAUCACGGGAGACACACGGCGGGUGCUAACGUCCGUCGUGAAGAGGGAAACAACCCAGACCGCCAGCUAAGGUCCCAAAGUCAUGGUUAAGUGGGAAACGAUGUGGGAAGGCCCAGACAGCCAGGAUGUUGGCUUAGAAGCAGCCAUCAUUUAAAGAAAGCGUAAUAGCUCACUGGUCGAGUCGGCCUGCGCGGAAGAUGUAACGGGGCUAAACCAUGCACCGAAGCUGCGGCAGCGACACUAUGUGUUGUUGGGUAGGGGAGCG
rnacentral:rRNA from 1 species